rnacentral:rRNA from 2 species
UGAGGAAUAUUGGUCAAUGGGCGCGAGCCUGAACCAGCCAAGUAGCGUGCAGGACGACGGCCCUAUGGGUUGUAAACUGCUUUUGUGCGGGAAUAAAGUCAGGGACGUGUCCCUGUUUGCAUGUACCGCAAGAAUAAGGACCGGCUAAUUCCGUGCCAGCAGCCGCGGUAAUACGGAAGGUCCGGGCGUUAUCCGGAUUUAUUGGGUUUAAAGGGAGCGUAGGCCGUCGUUUAAGCGUGUUGUGAAAUGUAGGCGCCCAACGUCUGCACUGCAGCGCGAACUGGAUGACUUGAGUACGCGGGAAGCAGGCGGAAUUCGUCGUGUAGCGGUGAAAUGCUUAGAUAUGACGAAGAACUCCGAUUGCGAAGGCAGCCUGCUGUAGCGCCACUGACGCUGAUGCUCGAAAGCGUGGGUAUCGAACAGG